rnacentral:snRNA from 1 species
GUGCUCACUUCAGCAGCACAUAUACUAAAAUUGGAACGAUACAGAGAUUCAUGGCCCCUGUUUUUUAAUGUAAAAAAAAAAAGAAUAUGAAUUUAACUAU